AUGGGUUUGUGUUCAUUAUAGGAAAUUUCUGCAUAAUGUUCUGUCGCUAUUAGGUGUAGUAUUUAUUUUAUACAGUAACUUUCAUUCAAUCCAUCCUGAAUCAGUCCACAGAAAACAAAUGCUCAUAAGUGAUCCUGCUUUUAAAAUAUCGUAACAUAAACAGAAACUACAGUACAAAACAGCCUUUCAGACGACACCCACUAUCUAAAUCAAAGAUAAGCUACGUCCUUAAAUUUCAUUUCUUCUUUCUAUCCGCAGAUCACAAUCAGAAACCUCAGAUAAUUACAGAAACCCAGGAGGGAGGACAGGCAUUAGGGGACAGGGUGCACUCGGUCAACUGGGUCCAAAUCUGCAUUUAGACCUUGUGCUGACGCGGUAGGUCUCAGCUGCUUACAAAGCAUUUUAAAAGGUUAUUUAACUACAACUGGAUGAGAACUUGAUGUGAGACUUUGAUAUUAGGUGGCGAGACAGCACAAGAUCAGUUCUGGAGUUCUUGGCAGUUUGGGACGAAAGCCAGGGAACCUUGACUUUACCUGGAGUGAGUCCGGCUGUUUGUUCACUUCAUGGGUUUAUUACUGUUGGACCAGUUCUUUAAAACACAGUUUUGUUGUUAUUUGAAACUGUCAGGGACCUGUCCAGUCUGCUGAUCACCUGCCCGUGACUCUUCAGAAAACCAUGGGAAAGACACUGUAUGAAAAAUUAAAUGCAAAAGUUUCAGAGGGAACAAAGGUAAGUCCGUUCAGCCUUUAGGUUUGAGCUUUAAUGUUCCUAGAUGGGCAUUAUAGUUUACAGACUAUACAAGCAAUGCUGUGCAUAGCAACAAUACAUUUCAUCAUCAAACCACUAGUAAAUAGAACAUAGAAAAUAAUUUGAUCAUUGUGUGACUGUGAUUUAGGUGCUUGAGGGUUAUGUGGAUGACUGCAGGAACACAGAUAAUGCCUGGGUGGAAACCACUGUCCUAAACAUCCACCUGGACAGAACGCACCAGGUGAUGGCGGACAUCAAUAGUACGG
rnacentral:lncRNA from 1 species